rnacentral:miRNA from 1 species
AUGAAACCUAGAGUUCCCCCAAACACUUCAGUGUGCCGAUCGGUCCCUAAGCAAAAAAGGGACUCUUAUAAAUUCUGAAGUUAUUGAGGAAACUCCAGAUCAAAC